UAGAAACUCUAUGCUAUACAGUAACUUCUCCAGUAGAAACUCUAUGCUAUACACUAACUUCUCCAGUAGAAACUCUAUGCUAUACACUAACUUCUCCAAUAGAAACUCUAUGCUAUACACUAACUUCUCCAAUAGAAACUCUAUGCUAUACACUAACUUCUCCAAUAGAAACUCUAUGCUAUACACUAACUUCUCCAGUAGAAAUUCUAUGCUAUACACUAACUUCUCCAAUAGAAACUCUAUGCUAUACACUAACUUCUCCAGUAGAAUCUCUAUGCUAUACACUAACUUCUCCAGCAGAAAUUCUAUGCUAUACACUAACUUCUCCAAUAGAAACUCUAUGCUAUACACUAACUUCUCCAGUGGAAACUCUAUGCUAUA
rnacentral:lncRNA from 1 species